UCUGAAAUAGCUCAGUUGGUAGAGCGUCAGGCUGUAAAUCGAAAGGUCCUUGGUUCGAUCGUGGGUUCCGGCA
rnacentral:tRNA from 1 species